rnacentral:rRNA from 1 species
AUUGAACGCUGGCGGCAGGCCUAACACAUGCAAGUCGAGCGGAGCGGCUGACGGGUGAGUAAUGCCUAGGAAUCUGCCUGGUCCUGAUGGAUAAGGUCCGGAAACGGGCGCUAAUACCGCACACUCUCAGCUGAGCAUAGGUCGGAGUAGCUAGUUGGUGGGGUAAAGGCCUACCAAGGCGACGAUCAGUAUCUGGUCUGAGAGGAUGAUCAGUCACACUGGAACUGAGACACGGUCCAGACGCCUACGGGAGGCAGCAGUGGGGAAUAUUGGACAAUGGGCGAAAGCCUGAUCCAGCCAUGCCGCGUGUGUGAAGAAGGUCUUCGGGUUGUAAAGUACUUUAAGUUGGGAGGCGUUACCAACAGAAUAAGCACCGGCUAACUACGUGCCAGCAGCCGCGGUAAUAC